rnacentral:rRNA from 1 species
UACGGGGGGGGCAAGCGUUGUUCGGAAUUACUGGGCGUAAAGGGCUCGUAGGUGGCCAACUCAGUCGGACGUGAAAUCCCUCGGCUUAACCGGGGAACUGCGUCUGAUACUGGGAGGCUUGAAUGCGGGAGAGGGAUGUAGAAUUCCAGGUGUAGCGGUGAAAUGCGUAGAUAUCUGGAGGAAUACCGGUGGCGAAGGCGGCAUCCUGGACCGACAUUGACGCUGAGGCGCGAAAGCUAGGGUAGCAAACGGG